ensembl:lncRNA
AGCGAGCAGCGACUGGAGAGCAUGCACAGAAGCUGACAGAGGGGAAACUUCUGCUUUAAGAUGGAGCAGCUUGGGGGAAAUGGGUUUACAUGAGUUCAAGGGGAGAAGUUCAUCAAAGAGAAAUCCACAGAGAUUAAGAACAUAGUGACUGCAGUAUUUGCAAGAAGUUGCUGAGCAAAAAUUGUUGGAAGAGGACACAAGUGGAAAGCAUCGCAUACUUCUGCUGAAUUUUAUUCCUCCUUGAGUACCUAUUCUGGCUGCUGAUGGAGACAAGAUACUGAAUUAUGAACUUUCAGCCUGCCUUGACAUAUUGAUUGUGAUCUGGUAGCUAGAAGAUGACAAGUUGCCUGAUGGUGAAGGUCAACCACACAGUCAUCUGCUGAAGGUCAACUGCUGGCACACAGACCUCUCAGGUUGGAUUUGGGGUUUGAAAGCCAGCACACCAAGUUCCCGUUCGUGUUACAGAUGUUGCAUUGACUCCAAGUUGGCAUGAACAGCAAUAUGAGCUUGUACACAAGACCCUGGUUUGACAGAAAGGUUUGCACAGGUUUCAGAAGCACUUCUGAAAACAGAAACGUUCUUCUUGAAAAACUGUAUGUAUCACUCCACAAAAAGUACAACCAAUCUAUUAAGUGAUCCAAGUAAGACUGCAAGACAGCCUGAGUGUCCAGUGUGCACCAUCGCUGCAAGAGCAGAGAGGCAAGGUUGCUAUCAUGCAGUGGCAACAAUUGUCCUCUGUUUAAUGCCUAUUUUUACUCUUCAUGUCUCUACUUUUCCUGGCAUGCAAAGAGCUGGAACUAAAGGCACCGCACCCUGGAGUGAUGGGGGAUGUUAUGGCAGGAGUGCAGUGCCAUGCUUAAGGUUAGAUCUUAGUCUCCCCUUGAUUUGCAUCACAGGAAUUUUAUGACCGACUUUGUCAUAUGAAUACCUAAAGCUCUGGG